UUUAUUUUGUAAAAGUGACGGGCGAUAUGUGCAUGUUUGAUUUUUUAUUCUUAUCUAAUUUUUAUUUUUAAUAUUAAUUUUAAAUCCUAAUUUAUUUAUUUUUUUAUUUUAAUCUUUGUUUUAUUUUUUGUAUUCCAUGCGCUCUAAAUUAUUAUCUUUGUCUUGAUUAGUUUUUUGUUCAAAUUAUAAUUUUUAAAGAAAUAUUUUUUUUUCUUUUUAAAACAAUGAUAUGAAAAAUUUUUACUUUAGUUCAUUUAAUUGUGGGUUAUCUAUUAAGCUACAGAAUCCUCUAUUAAAUUCUAACACCGCCAUUUUAUUUAGUUUUUUCUUAUUUAGGUACUAUCUUUUUUUCUUUUAAAA
rnacentral:rRNA from 1 species